GACGAACGCUGGCGGCGUGCUUAACACAUGCAAGUCGAGCGGUAAGGCCCUUUCGGGGGUACACGAGCGGCGAACGGGUGAGUAACACGUGGGUGACCUGCCCUCAGCUCUGGGAUAAGCCUGGGAAACCGGGUCUAAUACUGGAUAUGACUCCAUGACGCAUGUUGUGGGGUGGAAAGCCUUGUGCGGCUGAGGAUGGGCCCGCGGCCUAUCAGCUUGUUGGUGGGGUGANGGCCUACCAAGGCGACGACGGGUAGCCGGCCUGAGAGGGCGACCGGCCACACUGGGACUGAGACACGGCCCAGACUCCUACGGGAGGCAGCAGUGGGGAAUCUUGCGCAAUGGGCGAAAGCCUGACGCAGCGACGCCGCGUGAGGGAUGACGGCCUCCGGGUUGUAACCUCUUUCAGCUCCGACGAAGCGAGAGUGGCGGUAGGAGCAGAAGAAGCACCGGCCAAC
rnacentral:rRNA from 1 species